rnacentral:misc_RNA from 1 species
GAUGAAGAACGUAGCGAAAUGCGAUAAGUAAUGUGAAUUGCAGAAUUCAGUGAAUCAUCGAAUCUUUGAACGCACAUUGCGCCCGCCAGUAUUCUGGCGGGCAUGCCUGUUCGAGCGUCAUUUCAACCAUCAAGCCCCCCGGCUUGUGUUGGGGACCUGCGGCCGCCGCAGGCCCUGAAAAGCAGUGGUGGGCUCGCUGUCACACCGAGCGUAGUAGAUCUCAUCUCGCUCAGGGCGUGCUGCGGGUUCCGGCCGUUAAACCACCUUCAUAACCCAAGGUUGACCUCGGAUCAGGUAGGAAGACCCGCUGAACUUAAGCAUAUCAAUAAGCGGAGGA